rnacentral:lncRNA from 1 species
UGGCAGACCCAGCAAUUUAGCAGAGCUACACGUAUGAUGACCCAUGUAAUUGUGUAGCACACUGUGAUUUACUGGUAUAUGGGGAGCAUCAUUUGUGCAUGGUUUGAAUGAUGGACCUUGUACUGUGGAGUUCUUGUGCAUAUUUGAACGAACUUCUUAAUAAAUUGCUGCUUCUGAAUGUAGUUUCUGUGCCUGAAGCUGAUAUCAUUCUGCUAUAAUGUUUUUAUAGGUAAGUUAGGACAUGGGAAUUGAGGCUUCUAUUCCUAUCAGCACAAAGCUGAUGCAGCAGAGCACUCUCAUUUGAGCAUUCCUGAAACUGCAGCUGGAAAAGGCCGUAAGCAGUAUCACAUAUUUGGUAAUCGCUCUCUUAUGUUUGUAUCAGGUACGUGGUUUUCGAGCAUUAUAUUAUCUCCAACAGGGUUUUAGCUUUGUCACUCUCACAAUUCAUUGUAAUCUAAAACAAUGCAAUUAAGAAAGCUUGGAAAGUUUUUUUUUUCCCAUUUAAAAAAAUUCUUUAUUAUUGCCACAGUGUAUAUCAUUGGACUCGUAAGGCUUAUUCAAAUCCUAUGGCUAUACCACAGUUAGUUUUAAAGGUUGAUAUGUUCAAAUGAUUAUGCUCUUAGCUUUGUUCUGAGCUCUAUAUUGUAGAAUUUCCAAAAAAAUUGGGGUUUGGAACCUCCAGUAAUUUACCCACUCCAUUGGUUAUUGAAGCUGGCUAAACUUUCUCUUUAGUUCUUCCUUACCUGCCAUAGAUCUACUAAAUAGCCCCAGAAUCUUACAUUAGGAGAAAUUACUUUUAGCUAUUGCCAUCUCAAGGUAUGAUGUCCAAAGAUCUCUGAGGGAAUAAUUAGCCUUAGCAAUUAGUUUCUUUUCUUGAAGUUAUCUUUUGUUUUGGCAGAUUAUAUUUAUGUUUUUUGCCUUUAUGUAGUGAUAUCUCUCUCUAUCUUUUGGUUUUUACAUUUGAAUAUUUUCUUAAAGGAAACAAACUGCAGCUGAGGUACCCGACCUAAUCGAGCUGUAACAAGUUGGUCGACCUCUCUAACUAGAGCAAAUGGAUCCUGGAUAAGGAAACAUUGACGUAUCAACUGUUGAUGUCGAGACUUGCUAAAAAUUAACAGUUUAGAAUUGACUGCGUAAAGUCUUCUAUUGCAUAAACUUGAAUCUUUGAUGUGCUUUCUCAUAUCUUUUUGGAAGCUAACAUAAUUUACAUGAAGGCAUUUUCAGAUUUUAAAAUCAAUACAUACUGUUGAUCUCCUAGCUUCUCUGAAUGCAUUUUGCUUAUAGAAAGCGUGACUUUAUUAUUUUGAUUUCGACUUGCAUACACAAUUCUUGAGUUUAAUCAGAUGGAAACUGGAAAAUGGAACGGGACCAAGAAAGGUACAUUCAUGUUGGUCAUUAAACACUAUCUUCCGAUGCUUUCAGACAAUGACUGCAAAAGGUUGUUAUUACCUUGAAGCACCAAUGUCGGUAGCAAAAAAACUGCUGAAGAUGGUAAAUUGGUGAUUCUUGCUGCCGGAGAAAAUGUGAAUAUUCAUGUUUCAUUUGUCUUUUUUUUUNUUACUCCGGGCAUACCCGGGAGCGAGCAAAUGAAAAGAGAUGUGCCAACAAAGGUUUAAAGCCCUGCAAGUAAAGAUUCGAAGUGAAUCAAAACAUACGGAUACAAAGUAAACAUCGCUUUGUAUAUGUAUGUUUUAAUUCGUCUAACAAUGGAUUCAACUUGCGGCUUGAUACCUUCAAAAAUACAUUUAUUCCUUUCCAUCCAAAUGUAGUACACGGUUGUUGCAAGUGCAAUACGUUUUGCUCUACUAGGCCAACUCUUACCUCGAGCUUCCUUUUUCAUCCAUUUUAAUGAGCUCAACAAGGUGGACAUGCUACGCCGAAUAGCCAACCAAUCCCGGAUAUGAUCCCAAACUUCUCUACAAAAUCGGCAUGAAAAGAAUAGGUGCUGGGUAGAUUCAUCCGUGAGUGCACAGAAUGGGCACUUUCGGUCGAUCUGGAGAUACCAUAAUCUGUCCUUUGUCUGUAGUUUACCCCGAACAGCUAACCAUAGGAUGAAGGCAUGUUUAGGUAUGAUGGAACCGUCCCAAACAGAGGUAGCCCAUGCAGUUUUAACUCCCUUCGGUCUGAAGAACUCAUAGGCAGUUUUUGUGCUAAAAAUCCCAGAUUCUGUCCAGCUGAAUAAUCUGUCCAUUCCAGUUUGAAGUUCAUUUUGGGGUUCAACAAUACUGUCUCUUAUUUCCAGAAGCCUUUUAAGUAGUGGAGAAUCACCUUUUCUCACUUUAUACUUCCAAAUGUCCGAGCCUCGAAGAUGUACUUCAUUUAUCCAUUUAAUCCAUAAAGAAUCCUUUUUGCUAUGAAUGUUCCAAAGAGUUUUAGAAAGGAGUGCGGCAUUCCAACUUUUGAUAUCUCUAAAACCAAGCCCACCCUCAUGCUUAGGUAGGCAAAUUUGAUUCCAAGCAACCAACGGUUUUUUGGAUCCCCAUAGGAACCUUCGGCAAAGACUAAUAAUCUUUGAAGUAAC